rnacentral:rRNA from 1 species
UGGUGGAGUGAUUUGUCUGGUUAAUUCCGUUAACGAACGAGACCUUCGUCUGCUAAAUAGUGUUGCGCAUCUUCGGAUGCUCAGUUCACUUCUUAGAGAGACUUCAUGGGUUUUACCAUGAGGAAGUUGGAGGCAAUAACA